GUCUUCCAGUAUGGGGAGCAAAACAGCUAUGGGUCAAGUCCGAUAUCUUUAGGAGAAGUCUUAUUGUGAGGGCGAGUUAUAUAACACCAUAGGACUGGCCGUCCCAUAUGAAAAGAUUAUAUUAGAAUUGAAUGAAGCUUUGUUUAUAUAUUGAUAAUGACAGUAUAUAUAUCGUGUCUUGACUAAUUGCGUGCCAGCAGUCGCGGUAAUACGUAAGAGACUAGUGUUAUUCAUCUUAAUUAGGUUUAAAGGGUACCCAGACGGUCAAUAUAGCUUAUAAAAUGUUAGUACUUGACUAGAGUUUUAUGUAAGAGGGCAGUACUUGAGGAGGAGAGAUGAAAUUUCGUGAUACCAAAGGGACUCUGUAAAGGCGAAGGCAGCCCUCUAUGUAAAAACUGACGUUGAAGGACGAAGGCACAGAGAACAAACAGGAUUAGAUACCCAAGUAGUCUUUGCAGUAAAUGAUGAAUGCCAUAGGUUAGAUUGAUCAAUUAUAGUCUAGGGUUAGUCUAGCAAACUAAUGCCCUAUGAUAUAAUUCAAAAUAUCUGGUCUAUAAAUGAAAGUGUAAGCAUUUCACCUCAAGAGUAAUGUGGCAACGCAGGAACUGAAAUCACUAGACCGUUUCUGACACCAGUAGUGAAG
rnacentral:rRNA from 1 species